GGCCCCAUGGUGUAAUGGUAAGCACUCUGGACUUUGAAUCCAGCGAUCCGAGUUCAAGUCUUGGUGGGACCU
rnacentral:tRNA from 2 species